rnacentral:ncRNA from 1 species
ACGUGCGACUGGCGGAUAAGUGGGGAACCACAGGGGAGCACGUAUCAUUUUGUCAGAGAAAUGCGCAGAGGCGCAUUUUGAGAAUAGACAUGCCGACCGCCUGGGCGCC